CUUGUCUCAAAGAUUAAGCCAUGCAUGUCUAAGUAUAAGCAAUUAUACCGCGAAACUGCGAAUGGCUCAUUAUAUAAGUUAUCGUUUAUUUGAUAGUACCUUACUACAUGGAUACCUGUGGUAAUUCUAGAGCUAAUACAUGCUAAAAACCCCGACUUCAGGAAGGGGUGUAUUUAUUAGAUAAAAAACCAACGCCCUUCGGGGCUCCUUGGUGAAUCAUAAUAACUUAACGAAUCGCAUGGCCUUGCGCCGGCGAUGGUUCAUUCAAAUUUCUGCCCUAUCAACUUUCGAUGGUAGGAUAGUGGCCUACCAUGGUGGCAACGGGUAACGGGGAAUUAGGGUUCGAUUCCGGAGAGGGAGCCUGAGAAACGGCUACCACAUCCAAGGAAGGCAGCAGGCGCGCAAAUUACCCAAUCCCGAUACGGGGAGGUAGUGACAAUAAAUACUGAUACGGGGCUCUUUUGGGUCUCGUAAUUGGAAUGAGAACAAUUUAAAUCCCUUAACGAGGAACAAUUGGAGG
rnacentral:rRNA from 1 species